AUACUGCUGAAGAGUCCAACAUAGGACGAAACAGCUGUUCAGUAU
rnacentral:hammerhead_ribozyme from 1 species